AGAGGCCCCUCGCAAAGUCUCGCCCCAUUCCGAGUCCGGCGGACGAACUUCGCCCGCGCCCCCCACCAAGGCUAUAGCCCACCCGUUUUUUGGCCAUUUUUCCGCUGCGGGGUUUUGGCACCACGACCUUCGGGCGCUUAUUUUUGGGCGCGGCUUUGCCCGCGGCUUAUUUUUGGCGCCCCGAGGCCCCGCGCAAAGUCUCGCCCCAUUCCGAGUCCGGCGGACGAACUUCGCCCGCGCCCCCCACCAAGGCUGUAGCCCACCCGUUUUUUGGCCAUUUUUCCGCUGGGGGGUUUUGGCACCACGACCUUCGGGCGCUUAUUUUUGGGCGCGGCUUUGCCCGCGGCUUAUUUUUGGUGCCCCGAGGCCCCUCGCAAAGUCUCGUCCCAUUUCGAGUCCGGCGGACGAACUUCGCCCGCGCCCCCCACCAAGGCUAUAGCCCACCCGUUUUUUGGCCAUUUUUCCGCUGGGGGGUUUUGGCACCACCUCCUUCGGGCGCUUAUUUUUGGGCGCGGCUUUGCCCGCGGCUUAUUUUUGGCACCCCGAGGCCCCUCGCAAAGUCUCGCCCCAUUCCGAGUCUGGCGGACGAACUUCGCCCGCGCCCCCCACCAAGGCUAUAGCCCACCCGUUUUUUGGCCAUUUUUCCGCUGGGGGGUUUUGGCACCAUGACCUUCGGGCGCUUAUUUUUGGACGCGGCUGUGCACGCGACUUCCCUGGGGCACCCCAAGGCCCCUCGCAAAGUCUCGCCCCAUUCCGAGUCCGGCGGACGAACUUCGCCCGCGCCCCCCACCAAGGCUAUAGCCCACCCGUUUUUUGGCCAUUUUUCCGCUGGGGGGUUUUGGCACCACGACCUUCGGGCGCUUAUUUCUGGACGCGGCUGUGCCCGUGACUUCCCGCGGGCACCUCGAGGCCCCUCGCAAAGUCUCGCCCCAUUCCGAGUCCGGCGGACGAACUUCGCCCGCGCCCCCCACCAAGGCUAUAGCCCACCCGUUUUUUGGCCAUUUUUCCGCUGGGGGGUUUUGGCACCACGACCUUCGGGCGCUUAUUUUUGGACACGGCUGUCCCUGCGACUUCCCGCGGGCACCUCGAGGCCCCUCGCAAAGUCUCGCCCCAUUCCGAGUCCGGCGGACGAACUUCGCCCNN
rnacentral:lncRNA from 1 species